rnacentral:lncRNA from 1 species
AAGAAAACAGAAAUGAAUCCAGAGAUUCACAGAGGACUUGAACCAAAAUGUUCCUAGCUUCACCCUUCAUAAAGGGUCAAAUCGGGAAGUGACCCAAUGUCCCUCAGCAGGAUGGAGACACAAAUCAGGGUGUAUUUAUCCAGUGGGGUACUGUUCGUCAGUGAAGACAACAGGCUACUAAUAUGCGCUGGCAUGUGGAUGAAACGACAAGCGUGGUGAGUGAAAGAAGCCGGACAAUUGCAUUUAUGUGAAGUCCGACAAGCAAACCGAAGCCGCCAUGACGCCAAUCAUAGCAGUGCUUGAGGCCGGGGACGGGGUGUCUAGAUCAGCGUUCCCCGGAAAGAGGCAUGAAGGAGUUUUCUGGGGUGAUGGAAAGUGUUCUUGAUCUCCACUUGGGCGACUUCGAACUGUGUCAACGAUGGCCGUCAAGUACUCUCAGGACCAAGAAAUCCCAGUUCCAGCUGGAACCCCAAGUCCUCGGGGCAGCCAAAUCCACGUCAUCCUGACGGUGCCCCCCUCCUGCUGACUGUGAGGAAUGGAAUGGACGUCCGCUUUGUUUCCACAGGAUGAGAAUUCCUGACGAAUAUUACGGGUGUUCUCUUUGAUUUCCUGGAAGAUAGGACAAACAGCAGUAAAAAUACCCGCGAGGGAGAACCUGCGUUUCCACCCGUGCCUUCGCUGGGCACGCGCGUCGGCGCUGUCGGGAAGCCUGCCAGGCUUCCGGGGCGUCCGGACCGGGCGCGGAGACCCGUGGCUGCAGCAGCGCCCUCGGAAAGGCCGUGGCCGGCACAGCGGCGCCCCCGGGGUCGCGGAAAUCCCCCGGGGAGCUUGCCAGGCCGCGGGUUAGGGGAAGUGCCUGUGGUUACUGCCGCGGAGUUCCCCCACGUCCUGCGAGGAAAGCACCGGCCGCCACAGCGGGCCGCACGGAUGGGGGCGGGCCGGCAGGCGGAGACGCUAAAAGCCACGUCGGCCUCCCGCCCGCACCGGAGAGCCGGGCGACCACCGCCACCGAGGACACGGCCGGCUCCAGUCGCUGGCGCGCGGGGCCUCGGGCAGCGGGUUUUACAAAAGAGGCGAACUAUUCGACUUCUAGAUUUUUUCCAGUUUUUUCUAUAAACCACAACAUCUCAAAAUGGAGGCCUAAAACCCUUAAGAGGGACUUAGUCUAAUCUCCGGGAGGUAGUUUUGUGCAUGAAUAAACAAAUUCAGUAGUGAACUGGAAUUUCUGGUAUCCAAAGAAUGUUAAUUUAAUGAACAGAGGUCGUGUGACCAAAUCUAGCCAUAGGAGCUGUAACUGUAAAGUGACAAUAACCCUGAAUUUGAAUUUGACCGAGGGACAUGAAGGGGAAGUGAUUCUCGCUGGAACGUACUGUUGAGCCGCCGUCUGCAGUGCAGGAUACGGAAGAGGAACUCAUGAUUGGGAAGGAUGUAAAGAUGAGUGCAGUUCUCUAGAACAAAGAGUGACUAUUCUCCCCCUGCUGAAUUAGAGAAAUAUGCAGGAGAGACCGCUCACGGGUUGGAGUCAAGAACAGGGCGUCACGAUACCACACGUCGGGGGCGAGAAUGACACGUGAGCGUGCUCGAUGGGUAAAGAAACGAUCCCGCCCUUAGAUGACCGUUGACAUGUCAGGAGUCCAGACUUUAGUGUGUUCAGCUGUACUGUUCUCUCUGAGAAGGGUGACGGUGGAGAUGACAGCUGGGUGGUGACAUUUUGGGAAAUGAACAGAGAAGAGGUAUACAGAGACCGGGGUUAGCACCAGGAAGGUUUUACAGCAAUGUGGAACAUUUUUAUCCAAUGAAAAGCAAACCAAAGUGAGACACAGUGACUUAGCUUUGAGGGAACUCAUCACUGGUGUGGAGAUAACAUUUCUCAUGCCAUUCGGACAUAAAGCCUUGCCGUCUGCGGUGGGAGCCCCGGCGUCGGUGGGCCCCACGCGGCUUGUUAGCUGGUCCUGGGUGCAGACCCUACACGCACUGAUAGUCACCGCUGAGACUCUGAAUUUUAGGGAGAUCUCUGCUGGUCGAAAGGAGUAGACUGUAACAAAGUAAGUUUAUUAUUUUUUGUUUCGAUAAAUUCUGGUUCAAGGAAUUCUGUUGGUAAAAUUAUUUCUGACCAAAGCCAAAUUCGUGAGAUUUGAUUAUCCAUCUUAGCCUACAAAUUCAGCACUCCUUGAUUCUUUUAAAAAAUAAAUCCGUUAUCAGAAUAGAAGAUUUGGUAUUGUCUCUCAGCAGCAUGAAGCUGAGCCCAAAAAGACCACCUGAGCAAAUACAGUCAUCUCUGAGAAUUUAUUUGAAAUAGAAUAGUUCUAGUGGAAUCACUACGACUCAGCAAGCAAGCUCCUAACUAUGGGAAGUAAUUACUAUUUAAUAAAUUUUGAAACAGGCCUUAAGGUGCACCUGCCAGUUCUGUUCCUACUUAAGCUCAUCAUUCAUAGGAAAAUUCUAGAUCUUGUUCUCCCUAUUAAAAUUGUUAUAGGAAGGAAAAUUACUUAAUCUGAGCAAGAUUUGGGAUAUGCUGUAUUUCACUGCAUCCAAGACGUCAUUGAUUGUAAGACACACCGUCACUUUAAAUGCUUUUCGGAAAUAACAAUGCUGCUGAUUAGAAUAUGACAUGUUACUAGUUGGGGGAAACCUGAUAGCAGAGAUACUUAAAAGAUGCAGCCUAGCAUCAGUGAAAUGGGGUCGUGCAUUCUUGUUUUGAGGUAGGUCUUAGGCUGUUUCUCUUUUUCUGGCUUCCAAAUUUCACAAUUAAAAAAAAGCCAAACAAACCUAGUUAGAGUUUAGUUUCGGUGGAGCGCGUCCAGAGCCACUUUCCACCGUGUGGACAGGCUCGCUGCGUACGCCCCACGUCCCACCUGCAGGCCGCCGAGUGCCGCUGCCCCGGGGCCUGCGGGGCCCGGAUGCAGGGUGGCCUCUGAUGACCCAGAGUGCUCCACGCUCUCACCAAGGGUUUUGGUCUCGUUACGAGGUGCAGUGUUCCCUCCUGCUUACAACGUACGUGUAGGGAUUCGGCAAAGGGUCUGUACGGCCUUGUCCCUUACGACGUGUCCGUGCGGAACUCAGCCCGUCCGCCUGCCGACGCCGAAACCCAGGGCGGGAAGGGCUGGAGAUGUCCGGUGUGGACGCCCCACCUAGUAUUAAAGCUAACCAGUCAGGAGCCGUGCACAAAACUACCUCCCCAGAGACAGGCUAGUCCCUUU